CGUUUCGUUAUAAGAAACAAAAAAAAAAAAAAAAAAAAAAAAAAAAAAAAAUAAGUAAUGUAAUGUUAGUCGAACGUCGGCUUAAGCGAUUUAAGGGGAAAAAAAAUAAAUAAAUAAAUAAGAAAUACGCGAGUCCGAGUUGAGACUCCGAUGAUGCUCCGAUAAUGUGACGCGCGUCAUUGUACUUCGACUUGUACAGUCCUUAUGUUCAUCGAGGUUUUAAGUCAUUGUUUUACGAUUGUUAAGCGAGAUAGGUUUUUUUUUUAGCUAUAACGAGAGAGAGACACGAACAUUUUUCCAUUUGCCCCUAUGCUCCAUUAUUCUUCUAUUCCUUUUUUUUCUUCCUUUUUUUAACUUUGACUCUUCCCGUAUUUCCUCCUCCAGGUUUGUUUUCCAUAAUCUUUCCGCACUUCUCGUUUUUUAACCCGGGAUUAUCCACCUGGGGGUCUAGUGCACUAGACUCCCACGUGAGUAAUUUCGGGUUAAUCUAACUCCCUUCGUCGUAUUCUUCGUCGCGUACGAAUCUUCCGUUUGCGUUAUAAGACAAGGAUACGACAUGUGUAAUUAUCGAAAAAGAAAAAAAAAAAAUUACCAAUACUAGAUUCGCUUAUUUCUGUUUUUGUUUCUUGUCUCCACGAUAUGAUUAAUUGUUAUGUGGUGUGCGACCAAUGAAAAUACACAUGAGAAUUAAAAAUUUCGUAAAUUUCAGAACGAGCGAAAGAGGGAGUGAAAGUGACAGGGAGAGAAAGGAAAGAAACGAAACACGAUGUUGAGGCAUUAAGUUAGACGGUUCGCAUUCAUAAAUGAGGAUUGAAUAAUCGGGAGGGGAAAAGGUUUAAAAAAAAAAAAAAGAGAGAAAAAAAAAGUAAAUGAACACACACACAUACACACAUACACACAUACAUAUUAGAUUUUCGGAUACUUUUAAGAUGGCGAGGCAUAGCACGUAAUGAAAUUUUUAGAUUAAGGCAAGUGUGUCAUAGUUAGUUAAGAAAUAGGGAUUCUUAGAAGUCGAUAGGUGCUGUAAUAAAAUGAUGAAAAAAAAGAAGAAGAUGAAGAAGUAACCAGAACAACAACAACAAAGUUUAACAACGGUCAGAAUUAGAUUUUUCAUGAAACUCGAAUAAGAACACAGGGCAUACGCCACUAAAAGUGCCCUUAGUUUAUUUUGGAUCGUUUAAAAACGCUAGUCUUUGUGUGAGAUAAUGUGGGGGUAAUAUAGAUAGGAACUUCUAAAAAAGGAAAAAAAUACGAAAAAAAGAGGAGAAAAACGAAACAAACGAAAAAAUGCAAAACAGAAAACAAAAAGAGAGAAAGAGAGAGCACGCGCGCGCGAAAGAGAGAGAGAGAGAGAGAGAGAGAAACAGAGAGAGAGAGAGAGAAAGUGCGAGACGAAUAUGUGGUGUGUAAAUUGUAUGCAUAAUUUAUAAUGCGUACUUUAAAAAAAAAAAGAGGAAAAAGAAGAAAAAAAUAAGAACAACCAUCUGCCUAUGACACGACACAGACUGCAGAGACACACUGUUACUGUAAACUGCACACUGCGUGUGCACGCUCUGAAUGUCACACUUCUUACACUUUGUAUGCGGAGCGUGCACUUGAACAGUUUUUAGAGUUACUUACAAGUAUGGUUUGGUAUAUUCAAAGUGAAAGAAUCAAAUUCUUAAUUAUCAUCCCUUAUUUUUGAUCAAUAAACGAUCUGUUUUGGGGAUUUA